rnacentral:rRNA from 1 species
AGCGGCGCUAUACAUGCAAGUCGAGCGGACCGACGGGAGCUUGCUCCCUUAGGUCAGCGGCGGACGGGUGAGUAACACGUGGGUAACCUGCCUGUAAGACUGGGAUAACUCCGGGAAACCGGGGCUAAUACCGGAUGCUUGAUUGAACCGCAUGGUUCAAUCAUAAAAGGUGGCUUUUAGCUACCACUUCAGAUGGACCCGCGGCGCAUUAGCUAGUUGGUGAGGUAACGGCUCACCAAGGCGACGAUGCGUAGCCGACCUGAGAGGGUGAUCGGCCACACUGGGACUGAGACACGGCCCAGACUCCUACGGGAGGCAGCAGUAGGGAAUCUUCCGCAAUGGACGAAAGUCUGACGGAGCAACGCCGCGUGAGUGAUGAAGGUUUUCGGAUCGUAAAACUCUGUUGUUAGGGAAGAACAAGUCCGUUCGAAUAGGGCGGACCUUGACGGUACCUAACCAGAAAGCCACGGCUAACUACGUGCCAGCAGCCGCGGUAAUACGUAGGUGGCAAGCGUUGUCCGGAAUUAUUGGGCGUAAAGCGCGCGCAGGCGGUUUCUUAAGUCUGAUGUGAAAGCCCCCGGCUCAACCGGGGAGGGUCAUUGGAAACUGGGGAACUUGAGUGCAGAAGAGGAGAGUGGAAUUCCACGUGUAGCGGUGAAAUGCGUAGAGAUGUGGAGGAACACCAGUGGCGAAGGCGACUCUCUGGUCUGUAACUGACGCUGAGGCGCGAAAGCGUGGGGAGCGAACAGGAUUAGAUACCCUGGUAGUCCACGCCGUAAACGAUGAGUGCUAAGUGUUAGAGGGUUUCCGCCCUUUAGUGCUGCAGCAAACGCAUUAAGCACUCCGCCUGGGGAGUACGGUCGCAAGACUGAAACUCAAAGGAAUUGACGGGGGCCCGCACAAGCGGUGGAGCAUGUGGUUUAAUUCGAAGCAACGCGAAGAACCUUACCAGGUCUUGACAUCCUCUGAAACCCUAGAGAUAGGGCUUCCCCUUCGGGGGCAGAGUGACAGGUGGUGCAUGGUGUCGUCAGCUCGUGUCGUGAGAUGUGGUAAGUCCCGCACGAGCGCAACCUGAUCUAGUGGCAGCAUCAG